rnacentral:lncRNA from 1 species
GCAGGCAGGAAUACUGGAGUGGGUUGCCAUUUCUUUCUCCAUGGGGUCUUCCAGACCCAGGGAUUGAACCCAGGUCUCCUGUACUGCAGGCAGAUUCUUUACCAUCUGAGCUACCAUGGAAGACCAGGAAAAGAAGGGGCAUGGUGAAUCAGGUACUGUGAGAAAGCUCUGAAAGACAGCAAGCAGAUGGAUUGGGACUAAAGAUGAAAGGACAGUCUGGGACAGGCGUGACCGGAUUGUGCCAUGAAGGUUCUCCAGGUUCUAUAACUGAUGCUGAUGUCCUUGUCCUCCUUAAUUACACUGACCUUGUAAUCAACUCCAGAGAGGAAUUAUGUACACUUAACUACAGAAAGCAAAGCUCUGGGUCCGAUUGUCUAGCAGUUGGAGAUUUCUUGCCUCUAAUUGCUCUUUGUGCCCCAAGUUUGAGGAAAUAGCUGUGGAUAUUCCUGGGUCCUCAUCCAACAGAUCUCUCCCUAUCAGAGGGUUUCUAGCCGCUGUGACCUAUUACCCAUUCACAAGUCAGGGUCUUUAAGCAUCUGUAACUUUA